CUUAUAUGUAUCCCAAACGGCAAAAUCUCCACAUAGACAGCAGGAAAAUCACUUCGGUCAUGACUCUGUUUCCAGAUAAGAUCACCUCAACAUCAUUCUAAGUCCAACAGAUGGUGAACACAUUGUAAGAAGAAUACGCCAUCAUAAACUGCAAGUCCUCCUGUCCGUGUAAGCCAAAUUACUUUUAAGUUGAGAGGUCCAAACCUUGGAGCAGACUGUCUCCGUCCUGUCUUCUCUGAGCUGAAGUCUCCUCUGUCUUUAGCACCUUUGGCUCGAAGACAGCAGUGAAUUACAGUCAUACGGCCACAGCAGAGCAGACAGCUGGCCGCUUUGUUCAUCUGUGAAGCCAAAUUAAAAACAUUUCCAUCGUCAAAACUUUGGCAAAAUCAGUUCC